rnacentral:lncRNA from 1 species
CAAGGACUCAAGAUCAUGAGAUUAGCAAAUUUCCAAAAGGGAUCUGUCGCAGUUAAACAAGUCUGCUUCACCACCGCCAGUUUCGGUGCCAUGAUUGCAUUUGGCAAUGGGCUAAAGGCCCUAGGCAUUCAUUCUGCAACAAUUCAGGGAGGUAGACAGUGAGUGGACUCCAAAUGGAGCCAGGGAGCCCCCAGUAAGCAGGAAGAGAGGUGCAUGGAAGACACAAGCUUCUGGGGACUUGAGGGGAGGGACAGACCAGAGUGUGACAAGGAGUCUGCCCCACAACAGCGCCAGCAUCCUGACCUGAGCACGGAGUUAUCCAUGGAAGUCUCACAUGGAUGAGCCACAUCAGUGCUUCUCUGAAUCAAAGGAGUUAUAUUGGAGGAAACUUCUGGAAUGAAGCCUGGCAAUCCCUGGCAUGGUCCUCAGUCAACUCAGAGACCCUGGACUAGGAACAAGGCGCCUCAACCCGGCACAACCUCCCGACAAGCUGGCAACUCCAAAUGAAUGUCAAGUAUUUGCGAAGCAAGAUGGCAAAUGCAAAACAUCAUCCAUGAAGUCUUCAGGAAAGGAACUCAUGGAUCUCCUUUUAAUCGUAAGAAGGUUCCCAGACAUUUCUUCAUGGCUCACCUGUGUAGUCCAAGUCAUAGAUCGAGAAUCUACAGGAUUUAAGUGGCAAAUGUCAGCAUAUUUAUAA